UACGUAGGGGGCAAGCGUUGUCCGGAAUCAUUGGGCGUAAAGAGCGUGUAGGCGGCUCGGUAAGUCCGCUCUGAAAGCCCGGGGCUCAACCCCGGGAGGCGGGCGGAUACUGUCGGGCUAGAGUCCGGAAGAGGCGAGUGGAAUUCCUGGUGUAGCGGUGAAAUGCGCAGAUAUCAGGAGGAACACCAAUGGCGAAGGCAGCUCGCUGGGACGGUACUGACGCUGAGACGCGAAAGCGUGGGGAGCGAACAGG
rnacentral:rRNA from 1 species